rnacentral:rRNA from 1 species
CCUACGGGAGGCAGCAGUGAGGAAUAUUGGUCAAUGGGAGAGAUCCUGAACCAGCCAAGCCGCGUGAGGGAAGACGGCCCUAUGGGUUGUAAACCUCUUUUGUCGGAGAACAAAACCCGGGACGUGUCCCGUACUGCGUGUAUCCGAAGAAAAAGCAUCGGCUAACUCCGUGCCAGCAGCCGCGGUAAUACGGAGGAUGCGAGCGUUAUCCGGAUUUAUUGGGUUUAAAGGGUGCGUAGGCGGUCCGUUAAGUCAGCGGUAAAAUUGCGGGGCUCAACCCCGUCGAGCCGUUGAAACUGGCAGACUUGAGUUGGCGAGAAGUACGCGGAAUGCGCGGUGUAGCGGUGAAAUGCAUAGAUAUCGCGCAGAACUCCGAUUGCGAAGGCAGCGUACCGGCGCCAGACUGACGCUGAGGCACGAAAGCGUGGGGAUCGAACAGGAUUAGAUACCCUUGUAGUC